AACGGUCUAUACCUGCGGUACCUGCGGAGGGAUCAUUACAUGAUUUGAGGGGGCUCACGUCCCCUCAUCCAACCCACAAACCCCGAGGAACUUUUAUGUCGAGUGGUUCGGCGCUCUCUUUGAGAGCCGCCCCUCAGACGCAUCGCAGGCUUUUCGUGAAGGUCUGAUGUGUCACAUCGUGAGUAUUAAAACUUUCAACAAUGGAUCUCU
rnacentral:misc_RNA from 1 species